GCUGAUAUGGCCGAGUGGUUAAGGCGGUGGACUUAAGUUUCUUAAGCAACCCACUAUCGAAAGAUUCAGGAGUUCGAACCUCCUUGUCAGCA